GAUGAACGCUAGCGGCAGGCCUAAUACAUGCAAGUCGAACGGUGUCUUCGGACAUAGUGGCGCACGGGUGCGUAACACGUAUGCAACCUACCUUACAUUGGGGGAUAGCCUUUCGAAAGGGAGAUUAAUACCGCAUAAGACAGUAGCUGGGCAUCCAGCAGCUGUUAAAGAUUUUUCGAUGUAAGCUGGGCAUGCGUCCAAUUAGCUAGUUGGUGAGGUAACGGCUCACCAAGGCAAUGAUUGGUAGGGGAACUGAGAGGUCAAUCCCCCACACUGGCACUGAGAUACGGCCCAGACUCCUACGGGAGGCAGCAGUGGGGAAUUUUGGACAAUGGGCGCAAGCCUGAUCCAGCCAUGCCGCGUGUCUGAAGAAGGCCUUCGGGUUGUAAAGGACUUUUGUCAGGGAGGAAAUCCUAGUGGCUAAUAACUGCUGGGGAUGACAGUACCUGAAGAAUAAGCACCGGCUAACUACGUGCCAGCCGCCGCAGUAACAC
rnacentral:rRNA from 1 species